UUUUGACUAUUUUGUGUAUUUCCAUUACAUGAAAUCCAAAUAAAAAUCCAUUUAAAUCACAGGUUGUAAUGCAACAAAAUAGGAAAAACACCAAGGGGAUGAAUACUUUUCCAAGGCACUGUAUAUCCACCCCUACUGAACUUCCCUGCCAGUUGUGGAAAAAGUCCCUACCACCCGGUAAAGCAGUAAAGAGCAGGAAGAGGCAGGUGAAUAGUAACGGCACCGCCACCAAAGAAGAUUAAAAAAAGGGAGAAAAGCGUGAGGGACAAGAGGAAACCUGAGAGGGAGAAAGAAAAGGAGGAAAAGACAAAGGGGAAAACAAAGCCAAGAAAGGGUUGCUGCUGAAGGGCCUGGGAGAUGUGUUCAGGAUCCAGGCGGAGACUAGCGUGUUCCGUGAACAUCAGGCAUCGGUGGCGAGGGAGAGAGGGAGUACGCUGAGAUCCAACCUCAACCGCACCUUCAGCUCCAACGAGUGAAGGGGUCAAACCAAGGCCUCAUAAAUUGUCUUAUGUUAAACUGUAAGGUCUCCUCCCAGGAGACUCCUGUGUGUGUGUUAAAACCUGUUUUGAGUGAUAUGCCCUGCAGACACUAUCAGAAGGCGGAAACCGCCUACGCUCAUACUCCUCCUGUCUGGGUCCCACUGUGACUGCCUGAGGUUCUAAGAAUACGUCUGGUUUUCUGAGAACACAAGGCCACCGCAGGCCUGAUGGAAACCGCCACCUGGCAGAAGAGGCUUAGACUUAUCUGUUGUGAAAUGUC
ensembl:lncRNA